GGUGUGCCCGCCGCUUGUCUCCACGCAACGCGCGCGCAUCCACCUGGGCGCGCCGGCCCGGAGCAGCGCGGGGGCUCGGGGACCCGGGGAUGCGGAGGACCCGGGAUGCCUGUAUGCGGAGCUCUGACCCAGCUCCUUUCUGUUGCUGGAUGGGUUGGUGACUCAGUGAACAUUUGUGAUUUGACAGAUUUGGUGGCAGUGGUGGGAUCAAAGAAAAUUCCAGCAGCUUCGGUGACAAGGAGAAAAGCAGUCAUGGUACGUUGUGUUUUUUGUUUUUUGUUUUUUGUUUUUGUCUUUUUGCCAUUUCUUGGGCUGCUCCCGCGGCAUAUGGAGGUUCUCAGGCUAGGGAUCGAAUUGGAGCUGUAGCCACCAGCCUACGCCAGAGCCACAGCAGCACAGGAUCCAAGCCGCAUCUGCAACCUACACCACAGCUCACGGCAACGCCGGAUCCUUAACCCACUGAGCAAGGCCAGGGAUCGAACCCGCAGCCUCAGGGUUCUUAGUUGGAUUCGUUAACCACUGCACCACGACGGGAACUCCAAUGGUACCUUUUGAGUUCACAGAAUUCUUGCUGCUUCCAGAGGCCAUGGGUAAAGUCCCUCCCAGUUCUGGGCUCUGCUACCUGGGUCAGGCUCCCAUCUAAUUGGCUUACAGGGCAGGACAGCUCCUGCUGGAGACAAGUCCCCGGCUUUUCAGACCACAAGUCCCAGGUGUCUGUGUAGAACCCCCGUGGGUUCUAUCCGUGUAGAGCCCUUUGGUGAGGUCUGAUGGUCCAACCCCUUCCCCAGGCCGGGGUUCCAGAGCCGAUGUGCAGGGCCUUUCCCUGGCCAGGCUGGAGCCCCAUGUCUUGAUUGCUGGUGUGUUAAGUGCACAUAUUUGCCUUAUUUUGUGCAGAAAGAAGCUACUGCUAGUGGUGAUCUCAGAGGCCAAAAAGCUGCAAAAACUGGUGACCACAGGUUGAGCACCUACAGGCUGUCCUCAGACCCAAGGCCUCGUGUGUUAGGAUAAGUCAGUUGCAGGAUGGGUUUGAUCGACUCUGGGCCACCUGCAAAUGCCAAGAAAACGUCUCAGCAGCGAGGUCCCCGUGGCACUUGCACAGCCCCUGUCCAGAAGCACAUCCCUUUGGGGUACCAGUUUGGUUCCAAGAAACCCAAAGCCUUGGCUCUUAGGAUCCUUGGAUUCCUGACUCCGAUACACUUGCUGAUUUGGGGUCUAACAGCUAUGGUCCCAGAAGUUAUAAAUACUGACAAAAAUGGCAAAUGUUAUUAAAAACAACCUAGAAUUGCGUGACUACCAUGAGGAAUGUUAAUUGAGCAGCAUCUGAGAAAAAGCAGGUGGACACUGAUUGUAGUUGGUGGGCAGAGGCCUCCAGAAGGCUUCAAGACUCUAAAAUGUCUUCAUUAAAAGGCAUCCUGCCUAAUGAGAAAUGAAAGACCUGAGAGGUGCCUGAACACGACGGUAGGCCUGACAUGGCUCCCACUGGCCCUGCCUGAGCGCCUGUGUGGUACCAGUUCUCUGUCUGGACAGCUUCCCACUGGAAGAGGCUAUUACACAGGUGCCUUUGAGAAGAAAGCCGCCUGAGAUCCUGGGAUCUCGUCCACUCUUUGGUCAAAGACCAAACCAAUGAGCAGAAUUUUAAAGUUCCCUAAACCCAGGGUGCAUCCCCCCAAAUAUUUUAGGUUUGGAGUCAUUACUGGGCUUCUGACCCGGGGCUGCCAGAUCUUUUUCUGCCUGUGUGUGAGCUGGUUGGACUCAGGGAUCCCAAAAUGGACCUAGGAAGCAGGACGGCGGAGUCUCAGGGGGAUAUUAGCGAUCCAUCGUCUGCACGGGGAAGCUCUUUCUAUGGCCUUCCAGGCUCCGCGCAAUAAACCGGGGUGCCCAGCCUGCUCUGGAUCCCCC
rnacentral:lncRNA from 1 species